UCCGUCGUGGUGUAGUGGCUAGCAUUUGAGACUCUCAUCUUUCAAUCCUCUGAAUUGGAGCAUGUGAACUCUCAGAACCCGGGUUCAAUUCCCGGCAACGGAA